CAUUAAGAGCGUCUCAUAUGCAGAGCCAAGUUGUCAAUGGUCCAGCAGGUGGACCACAUACCACAUGGUAUAGGCACAUAUCGCUUUCCAGCAUCCGCUGACUGAAAGACCGGAAAAAGAUGUAUUUAGAGAUACAGAGCUUGGGCGACCUGUGCUGAAUUAUGAAAAUUUACUCGCAUUGAAGCCGUAACCUCAGUGGUGUGAAGAAAAUAGCAAACGAAAUUACAAACUAAUUACCUUCAACUUUAUUUGGUACAAUAACUCUUCGUGCGCUUUGACCAGCAAGAGGUUGUGGUGGGCCAAAGAAUUUUUAGCGUGCACCUCCAUUUCCUCUGAGUUACCAUGGAAGGUGCACAGUGGUACGUCACAAGGACGAAUCCGUUCCUCGCAACACAUUAAAUGUUCCAUAGCCUCACUCCUAAAAUAGUAGUUAAGUUAAAAGAAGAACUUCUCAGUGAUUUUAGAUUCUAUAAACUUUCACUCUUAAUCACACAUUUCUCUAUCCUGCAGAGUACACUGCCAAAAUUUCUAGCUAGUAGAGUCUCCCUCGUUGGUUCGAAUAUAAUGCUCCGGGGAAGUUCAACAAUAAUAAUUUUAAUACAAAUAAACACGUAUAUUAUUGACCAUUAUAUUCGAUACUUUGUACCAAGAUGUUUUAAAAUAAAUCAUAAUUUUUCCUUGGACUUACGCCGUGCUCACACAUGUAUGUCAAUCGCCGCAGAUAAGACUUUUUAAAAACAGUUAWAACUGAACUGAUCAUGAUAUACUGGUUCAGAGUAAAGGGAUAUAUACUCACAUUUUUAUUCUAUGUUUGUCUUGUGYUUUUCUGAAGUAUGGACAAAUAUUUUCCAUAUUGAAGAAUUAUGCGGUUUCUCUACUGURAGGACUUGCAGCUACAAAAGACUGUUUUCAGCUUUCCCACGGGGUAAUGAGGUCUGACGCAAGACAAUUAGAACAAAGGGUAUUUGUUAGAAGUAUUUCGACACUUCCCUCUCUUGGUGUGAAGUCACUUUAAUUUCGGUUAUUUCGUUAGUUUAGUUCUGUAUGUAUGUAUGGUAUUUUGUUUUUAAUCUUGCUUUGUUUUUGUAAAUGAUACAUCUUCUUAUCUCUUCAUUGUGUGCUUUCUAGUUUGGACCAAAUCGUUGGUCAUAGGAUGAGCAUUACCAACACUGCAGGGUCUAUAAAGAAAUAAAAAUUUGCAAAAAAAUAAAAACGUUUGUAACAUUUA